rnacentral:rRNA from 1 species
GACGAACGCUGGCGGCGUGCUUAACACAUGCAAGUCGAACGGAAAGGCCCUGCUUGCAGGGUACUCGAGUGGCGAACGGGUGAGUAACACGUGGGUGAUCUGCCCUGCACUUCGGGAUAAGCCUGGGGAACUGGGUCUAAUACCGGAUAGGAGCCAUUUUUAGUGUGAUGGUUGGAAAGUUUUUUCGGUGUAGGAUGAGCUCGCGGCCUAUCAGCUUGUUGGUGGGGUAAUGGCCUACCAAGGCGGCGACGGGUAGCCGGCCUGAGAGGGUGGACGGCCACAUUGGGACUGAGAUACGGCCCAGACUCCUACGGGAGGCAGCAGUGGGGAAUAUUGCACAAUGGGCGCAAGCCUGAUGCAGCGACGCCGCGUGGGGGAUGACGGCCUUCGGGUUGUAAACGCCUUUCGCUAGGGACGAAGCUUUUUGUGACGGUACCUAGAGAAGAAGCACCGGCUAACUACGUG